CCCACUCCUCGCCUCACCUUUUCUUCCCCACACCCACACCAGUACGUCACUCCUAUUCUCUCCUCCCCCGCCAGCCUCUAAUCCGGCGAAGCCCGGCGGCUCCCGGCAAGGGCUGCGCUAGAUGCGCGGUUGGAGGGCCCCAGAUGGCAGUAGAUGGCUGGAUCCAACCCAAGCACGCCAAGGCACGGAGACCACCCGCACGACCGUCUCCAUGAGCGGCGGCUUGCCGCAGGCCGGGCGGCGGCGUGGCUACGACCAGGUCGAGGCGUUCGCGCGGCCCUGGAAGAGGAGAAUGAGUCCCUCCACGCGCGACCGAUGGGCGUGUCAGCGGCGGGGCGAUGGAGAUGACGAGGCGGAGCUCGAGGAGGUGCGGCAGAGCCGAAGCCAACGAGACGCUGCUCAAGGAGGCGGGGCGCAGUCGGAGAGGAGCAUCUACGGAUCAACAGGGGCUCCGGCGCCGCGGGAUGGUCGUGGUGGACGCCGACAGGGGCAAUGGCCCGAUCGGCGGGCGGUUGGAAGGCGCGGGUGAGGAGAGCAAGGCGAUGAACGAGGCGGGGCGGGGACGCCAUGCGGAGCUCGGGCGCUCCAACGCCGCGGCAUGGUCGCGGUGGACGCCGACGGGGGCGACGGCCUGGUCGGCGGGCGGCUUUGGAAGGUGCGGCUGAGGAGGGCAGGGCGGCAUUCAGCAUUGUCGGUGAGGGGCCGGGGCUAGGACGCCUCGCGGAGCUCCUCCAUGAGCGGGAGCACGAGCUGUAGGCAGCGGAGAUAUGCGUUGCGACUGCUGGAACGGGUGGAACAUGCACGCGAUGCCAUGGUGGCGAGCAGCUUGUCCAGCAGUUUCCGUCGGAGAGCUCCCGUCCAGCCACUGGUGAGCAGGAUCCCCAUGACGAGCCCGGCCAAUGCGCACGCCUGGAUGCACCGGUGAAGUCGGGAUCCACCAGAUGCGCAUGGAGUUCCUUGUCCCCGGCAAUGAUUCAGAUGGUGCAUUGCUGUUCUGCUAGUAGUACAUUUGUUCUCAUGCUCUGAUUUGCAACUAGAUAGCUCUAUGUCUUUUUCAUUGCCUGAUCUGUUCUGAUUGAGGCACUAUUUUUUUCUGAAAUCUUUGUGUGAUGGCAACUUAACAUUUUGUUGUGUGCAUGAAAAAUGGCAAUUUUAUUGCUUUGACAUGGCAAAUUCAUAAAAAGAUCAUAUGGCACUUUUAUUGCAUUGAAGAUGGGAAAUUUAUUAUACUAUGGGG
rnacentral:rRNA from 1 species